rnacentral:rRNA from 1 species
GACGAACGCUGGCGGCGUGCCUAAUACAUGCAAGUUGAGCGCUGAAGGUUGGUACUUGUACCAACUGGAUGAGCAGCGAACGGGUGAGUAACGCGUGGGGAAUCUGCCUUUGAGCGGGGGACAACAUUUGGAAACGAAUGCUAAUACCGCAUAAAAACUUUAAACACAAGUUUUAAGUUUGAAAGAUGCAAUUGCAUCACUCAAAGAUGAUCCCGCGUUGUAUUAGCUAGUUGGUGAGGUAAAGGCUCACCAAGGCGAUGAUACAUAGCCGACCUGAGAGGGGGGUCGGCCACAUUGGGACGGGGACACGGCCCAAACUCCUACGGGGGGCAGCAGUAGGGAAUCUUCGGCCAUGGGCGGAAGUCUGACCGAGCAACGCCGCGGGAGUGAAGAAGGUUUUCGGAUCGUAAAACUCUGUUGGUAGAGAAGAACGUUGGUGAGAGUGGAAAGCUCAUCAAGUGACGGUAACUACCCAGAAAGGGACGGCUAACUACGUG